rnacentral:rRNA from 1 species
CGUUACCUACGGGGCGCAGCAGUAGGGAAUCUUCCACAAUGGGCGAAAGCCUGAUGGAGCAACGCCGCGUGGGUGAAGAAGGUCUUCGGAUCGUAAAACCCUGUUGUUAGAGAAGAAAGUGCGUGAGAGUAACUGUUCACAUUUCGACGGUAUCUAACCAGAAAGCCACGGCUAACUACGUGCCGGCAGCCGCGGUAAUACGUAGGUGGCGAGCGUUAUCCGGAUUUAUUGGGCGUAAAGGGAACGCAGGCGGUCUUUUAAGUCUGAUGUGAAAGCCUUCGGCUUAACCGGAGUAGUGCAUUGGG